rnacentral:lncRNA from 10 species
GCCAGGGUGAAGGAGAAGGAAGAGCUAAAAAUGACUCCUCCACUGCUGGCCUGGAAGCCUGGAAGAUGCUGCUGCUGGUGUAAGCGAAGAACUUAGGAUGAAAUUGAUUGGUGGGAAUGGCAGGAGAAGAUUUUUUUGUGAUACAGUGUCAGAAAAGCAAGGAGUUUGGGUCAGACCAGUUACGUCUUUGAAGCUUUCCACGUGUCUGUGUCUUCCUUGGAGCACCUCCCAGUGUUGUCAGGAGGAUUUAGAGAAAACAGCCUGCCCAGUGCUUUUGCUUGACUAGCAGAGACAGCUGGAUAAAGGUUUUAUGGGAGGCGAUGUCGGCAUUCGUAGGGCCUGUGCCUUUUCUGUGACUCAGUGAUGGGCCAGUGGAAACGGCCGUUUCCACAGUUGGACAGAACGAGGUUUGUGUCCUGGUGUUGCUCACAGACGUCUCAACCAGACGGAGUCCGGACUCCACCACGUGGCAAUAACGAGAAGAUGGCAGCUUCCUGCCUGGGAAUGGAGAACUCGAGUGGCCACCCAGCAUGACAGGCAGCCUCCCCACCCACUUAACCUCAUGGGAGGUCCUGUGAACCCUCCACCUCCAUCUCACGGGGCCUGAAGCCCACAGGGGGAUCCUUAAGCAGUUGGAGUGGGUCCUGGGGCCAGCCCAGGGCUGGCACGGGGUUCGCAUUUCACUUCUGGGCCAUGGCAAGCUCUGGUUCAGAGCCUUAGCUCGGCAGCAGCCCCUCUGCACCAAGUCACUUGGCCCCUGCCACAGCAUCACAGCCUGGAGCCCAACAGGAUGAGCCCAGCUCAUGCUUCUGAAGCACGGCUAUUCUGACAGCCCUGGUCUUGGUGCUCAUCACUUGCUUCUCACUGUGCUUUACAGGCAGAAUGGGGACAAGAGCUUUAAGUUCUAUCAUUGUGAUUCUUUUUUUUCUGCUGCAGUCCCUUAUAUGUAGCCUCCGACCAAAUACAACUUUUGCCUUUGUGCUAUUGCUGGAAUGCAAAGCUUCUACUUCAGAUGAGCGCUGAGAGCCAACAAGGUUGAAAUGGAAAAGGAUUUCCUCAAUGUCUUUAGCUCCCGGGUCAGGUAGACAAGCUCGGAGGUCUUCAAACUGGGGGUACACAGGUUUCUGGGUGCACAAAGUCUUUCUAGGAGGGAAGAAAAAUAGGUUUUGCUACUUUAUUGACUAGUGAAAAGCAGCAUGGUGGGGUGUGGCUCGCUUCUUCAGUGCUGCCUCUGCUCAAACCUCUAUGGGUGCAUACAGAUGGGCAGGCUGUGGAGCUCCGACCCCACAGCACCGUCUAGGGGUGAAUGUUCACAGCUCCUGAAGCCCCAGUGGGCGUGUGUACCAUGUGCUCUUUCAGUUUAGCCGCCCAUAGAUGGUUUGUAUUAGUCACAGCUCAAUUAGACCCCUGCCUUAUCACAAGAA